ACGCACGCUGGCGGCGUGCCUCAUCCAUGCAAGUAGAACGCACAGUUUAUACCGUAGCUUGCUACACCAUAGACUGUGAGUUGCGAACGGGUGAGUAACGCGUAGGUAACCUGCCUGGUAGCGGGGGAUAACUAUUGGAAACGAUAGCUAAUACCGCAUAAUAUUAAUUAUUGCAUGAUAAUUAAUUGAAAGGUGCAAUUGCACCACUACCAGAUGGACCUGCGUUGUAUUAGCUAGUAGGUGAGGUAACGGCUCACCUAGGCGACGAUACAUAGCCGACCUGAGAGGGUGAUCGGCCACACUGGGACUGAGACACGGCCCAGACUCCUACGGGAGGCAGCAGUAGGGAAUCUUCGGCAAUGGACGAAAGUCUGACCGAGCAACGCCGCGUGAGUGAAGAAGGGUUUCGGAUCGUAAAGCUCUGUUGUAAGAGAAGAACGGGUGUGAGAGUGGAAAGUUCACACUGUGACGGUAUCUUACCAGAAAGGGACGGCUAACUACGUG
rnacentral:rRNA from 1 species